rnacentral:rRNA from 1 species
CACGUAGUUAGCCGGUGCUUCUUCUCCAGGUACCGUCACAAAACGCUUCGUCCCUGGCGAAAGGAGUUUACAACCCGAAGGCCGUCAUCCCCCACGCGGCGUCGCUGCAUCAGGCUUGCGCCCAUUGUGCAAUAUUCCCCACUGCUGCCUCCCGUAGGAGUCUGGGCCGUAUCUCAGUCCCAAUGUGGCCGACCAACCUCUCAGUCCGGCUACCCGUCGCCGCCUUGGUAGGCCAUUACCCCACCAACAAGCUGAUAGGCCGCGGGCUCAUCCUACACCGAAAAAACUUUCCACCACACACACUAAAGCAUGGUCCUAUCCGGUAUUAGACCCAGUUUCCCAGGCUUAUCCCAGAGUGCAGGGCAGAUCACCCACGUGUUACUCACCCGUUCGCCACUCGAGUACCUCCGAAGAGGCCUUUCCGUUCGACUUGCAUGUGUUAAGCACGCCGCCAGCGUUCGUCCUGAGCCAGGAUCAAACUCU